AAUGAACGUUGGCGGCAUGGAUUAGGCAUGCAAGUCGAGCGAGAAGAGUUUUGAAGCUUGCUUUAGAACUCGGACAGCGGCGAAAGGGAGAGUAACGCGUAGUUAUGUGCCCUAGGGUCCGGAAUAGCCACGGGAAACUGUGGGUAAUGCCGGAUAACAUCCCCGGAUCAAGGGUGUGAUUCCGCCCUAGGAGCAGACUGCGUCCUACUAGCUAGUUGGUGGGGUAAUGGCCCACCAAGGCAAUGAUGGGUAGCGGGUGUGAGAGCAUGACCCGGCUCACUGGGACUGAGACACGGCCCAGAGGCCUACGGGUGGCUGCAGUCGAGAAUCUUGGGCAAUGGGCGAAAGCCUGACCGAGCGAUGCCGCGUGCGGGAUGAAGGCCCUCGGGUUGUAAACCGCUGUCGUAGGGGAGGAAGGUUCCGUGAAGAGCGGAAUUUGACCUAUCCUAGGAGGAAGUACGGGCUAAGUUCGUGCCAGCCGCCGCCGUAAGAC
rnacentral:rRNA from 1 species